CAACGAGAGUGAUCCCUGCGACCUAGCCGUCAUUCACGACAUCAAAAAUUUCUCUCAAAACGCAAAUUCCGCCAUGAAUGACCAACCUCCAAGGCUUCGCUCACCAUCGAAUUUCAAACGAGGCCAUAGUACCAAUGGAAGAAACAAGGACGCUCUCAAGAUUUGCAGAAUCGAAAGAUAAAGAGGAGAAGAGACCUAUCGGUGUAAAAUGUCAUCAAUGUUCAUCGACCCUCAACCGCGGUGUACUGAAGAUGAAUGGUGGAGGUUCCACUCGUGCGCAAGCUUUGCCUUCGUAACGAACGUGCGGUUGAUGGUGAAGCUUUGAUUCCGAUCAGUGCUUGCAUUUGUCGAGACGAUCUUCCUCGAAACUCCCCUGGUUCGAGCGAACGUAAACAGAGCGAUGGCGAAGGUUGUUGUUAAUGGAAAGGCGGUUCUGUUGAAUUUGGUUCCACAGUUGGAGAGAGUUCAAAAAGUCUCCGAGAUUUCCGAAGGCUCACUCUGUUAUAGGUGGUUGUAGGUCCUUGUUCAGGGUGAUUACAGGUGCUGUUUUAUUCUGUAAUUGGAGGGAGUUAGAGUUCUUGGUUGAAGAAACAGGUUAGGGUGAGGAAGAUUGGAGAGAAGAAGAAGAUUGGGGAAGAACAAAGCAGGAAGGGAUUAAAGGAAUCAAAAACUGGUGGAGCACGGAAUCAUGGAAUUAACAGAAGGAGAUCGGAGGAAUUGCAGUUUGAUACAGAAGGAGAUCGGAGGAAUUGCAGUUUGAUACAGAAGGAGAUCGGAGGAAUUGCAGUUUGAUACAGAAGGAGAUCGGAGGAAUUGCAGUUUGAUACAGAAGGAGGUCGGAGGAAUUGCAGUUUGAUACAGAAGGAGAUCGGAGGAAUUGCAGUUUGAUAAUUCGAGCCCUAAUUCCACUCUCUUUGCGUCAACCAACAUCAAGAACAACAUGGAAACGAGGCUAGCAAUUCGCAUCAACUAAUGGAAUGAAAUCAUGACACCACGUAUACGAGUUACGAUACUUACCAUACUGAAGCGACGCGGAGGUUCCGGUGUCGUCGAUGCCGUUCACAGAGACUGAGGUGGCUUAGGUCCAGCAGAAUUGCUUCGAUGCGAAGCUUCAAUGGCUUCUUUGAGAUAGAUUGAGCUCUGGUGAGGGAGGAGGUUGCAAGAUAGAGAGUGCAUGUUCAAGCCAAAAAAUGCAAGGGCCUCAAAGUGUGGCUUCCUGUUACACUGUUAGUGAGGCGAUUAGUUUCUGUUAGAUAGUUAGAAUGCAGGAUUCUCUGGUUGAAGCAGUUGGUACAGUCAGGUCGAAAUUCUGAAAUGGAAAUGGUGUUUAGUCGGAUGAUGACUGCUAGAGAUCAACCUAUUUCUGCUGGGUGAUGGUGAAGUUGAGAAUGGUGAAACUGUACGCAUAGAAGCCAAGAUGAAAGUGUUUUCCACACGCACUUGCAGAACCUGUCAUUUCUCUUCUUCUUUGUUUACACUGGGGUUGAUCGAAUGAAAGACCUACACAAGGACAUUCUCGAGCUAGCUCGGAGCACGGCACACUUGUUGGUCACAGUUCGUCAUGGGAAGUUGUCGUCGUGGACUUGUUCAUAGGCAAUGUAUGUAAUUGGAACUGUAGUUUUUUCUUGGAAAUUUGAAACAAAAGUUGAACCGAAAUGUCGUCUCCCAAACUGGUGUUCUGCUUAUAUGAGUUCUGUCAAUUUGGCUUUAAUUCCGUGAUGUUCAAAUCUGCUAGGAACUGAUUGAUGCUACCACUAUUUCGGUUGGCCACUAACAUGGAUUCGACCUGUUAUGGGCUAUUCCAACAGAUUAGUAUGUUAGGUUAAUGUUAACUAGAACCAUUUCCUGUUAGGAAGUUCUUAUGGCAGUUGCAAUUUAUGCUUGAAUGUUUCCAUCUGCUGAUGUUCUGCUUGAUUUUGCUGUAGGUCUUGUGAUUUUGAAUAAACUAAAUCUGAUAGUUAGAUGUUAAACAAUUGGGUUAGGUUUGUGUUAUGCUCAUUAACUGGAAAUCUGUCAGUAGAGGGUUAAUUAAGUUAGUUAAUGUUAGCUGGCGGUAGAAUUCGGUUGGAAUCAUAUGUUAAGAUUACUGUUAGAAAUCUGUUAUGAGUUAAUUAUUAUGAAGUUGGAAUGGUUGAAAUUUGUUAGGAGAAAAAAGCGGUCAGAUGGAGCUGGAUCGAAGCUAUAUUCAUCCUGUAAUUAUUCUGUUUUGUUCAAGAAGAGAAAAGGAAAAAAUUAGUUCUAUUGGUUAUUGGCAAAGGUUGUGUUUAUGAUGUGUCGAACGGUACAGAAGCGGAUUGCAUCGUUGGCUUACAGAUUGGUGUAUUCUUAUUGCCGUUGUGACCGUCGGUGCGUACGUUAUAGCUGCAGCAUCCUGCGCUUGGAGUUGGUGUUGGCAGCUUGUAUGCUUUCGGCUCAGACGGUUUUCUGCCGCUGCUGAACUCGGUGGCCUUUGUUGAGAUAAAAAAACACAUGUGAAGUUUCCAUUGAGAAGAGGUAUUGGCCCGAGUGCGAACCUGUUAGUGCAGGUACCUUCGCGCAGCGUGUUCUGGUAGUAAGACUGUUAGAUAUUAGGAGUUGAAUUCUAUUAGUGGUUAAAUGUCGUGCCAAUUGGCUAGUGCUAGAAGAACAGUUAGGUAGUUAGUUUUAAAAGCUUUGUUAAAGAAUUGUGAGUUAUGGAAUAGUCAUGUUAGAAAGUUUUAUUUAGAUUAGUUCAGUUAAUUAUAAAUUGCAAUUAAGAUGAACAUUCAACUGUGCUGCAAAUGAAAACUAUUCUUCGCAUUAUUGUUUCUUUGGGCAUGCUAGGAAAAUUGUGUUGUGAUUAUUUGUUAUUUGGAAUAAGUUAUUUAGAAUACUCUAUUUUAACUCGGUUAGAAAAGUCUAUAGUUGGUGUUAGUUAGAAAUGGGAAUGUUGGUUAGAAAUCCAACUGGAAAUUUACAUGAAAUGGACUUAUAAAUACAACUGGAAAUCGAAAUACAAACCAAACCUCGCUUCCUUUCGAAAUGGUUUGUGAGUCCUGUAACGUUCAGCUUAUGCCGGCAGCCGAAACUUUCUGCUAGGCUACUUAAUUACGGUUAUGGAUGAAGAAUCAAUAAAGUUUAUUAACUGUUGUUAUGCUACGGUUUGAAAUUCAAUGUGUAUCGAAUUGUUAUUGAUGAAAAUCGGAUAGUUAAUGAAUUGUUAGAAAUCAGAAUUGUUUUGAAACCUGUUACGAAAAUUCAUUAACUGUUGUUAUGCUAGCUUUUGUCAGGUGUGAAUGCAUGGCUCUUUGCGGUAUGUCGUGGUUCUAAUGUGGAAUCCUUAGAAGUUAUGAAAUGUAUCCUAGAAUGUCUUGUGCAAAUCCUGGUUUACACUUACAGGUGACACCGGAGUACUAGAGCCGGGACUUGAGUCGUGAACUGGAAAAUAAGUACCAGGAGCAUCAUGCCUCGCGAGCAACUUUGAAUGUUGACAUUCAGUUUAAAGCCUCGUCCAAGAAUUCCCUGUUGCCGUUGCUUCCUGUAGUGGUUUUUUUUUUUUUGCAUUAAUACUACAUAUUUCUGAAUGGUUGUAUUUGAAUGCGUAUUAUUUAUUAGUUGUAAUUUUGUAAAUGAGUUAAAACGUGGAACGUGUAAUGGAAUUAUAUUGAAUGUUAUAAAGAUGUAGAAAAUUGAAAUUGAGAA